AUCAUUUUUUCUCCAGGGGUCCCUGUCAUAAUUAAAGCAGAAGCUGACCUGCUUUUGUGUCUUCUCCUCAGCCUUUUGGGCUGCUCAAAGGCUGGUUGCCUUGGGCUUAUUCAUAAAUGCAUGCAGGACUGGGCACUUUCUGCAUCCACACCUCCCUGUGUGGGAUGGGGCAGCACAUCCCUCAUGUCAGGUCCUAUGGAGCCCUGGGUACCUGCAUGGGGCAGCUGAGAGUUUCCAGGCAGUUUCCCCAGGUGCAGCAUCAUCUCCUUCCUGCCCAAGAAGAGUGAUGGAAGGAAGGAUCCACAUCUCACUACCAAGAGACUCCUGGGGGCUCAGAGCAGAGCCCAGCAGUGGGAUUCACUCCCUUGUGCAGCAUGAGAGGCUGAGGAGCACUCUACACCUGCCAUAUCUGUGGGCUAGGAAAGGGCAGCCAGUGGCCACCUUCAUCCCAGUGACAGACACCUGGCUGCCUGGUGUAGGUGCAUCUGGCCACAUGCUUCAGAGCUGCCAGGUCUUCUGCAAACCCACAGCUUUGCUGGGAGAGCUGUCUCCUACCUGAAAGACCUGGCAAAGGGAUGUGGCUUCCCCUGCAGGCUCACGAAGGACGAGACUCUCUCCACCUGGGGCUCACUUGUACAGCACUGAGGCAGCCUGUGGCCAUGCCAUGCCCUUCCACAGCAUCUGUUUUUCUGAAUCUCCCCCAGCCACAGCAUGAGGGAAGCCUGGAAAACCCUGCAAGGAUGGGGCGACAGAGACAGCUUCUUCCCCCCGCUUCCCCUGCCCCGAGCUGCCCUCCCUCAGGCACCGCGCUUUUAUAUUUUUAGAAAGCACAGUUUGUGUUCCUCAGCGCUAGCUGUGCGCGUCAGUGGCUGCUUCACAAUGAACUCUCAGGGGCCCAUCAGCUUUGUACGUGAGGGCUGUGCCCCGCCACAGUAUUUUCUGCUGCGCAGUCAGGCGCACUGCGGGCUCUAGCUGCCUCAACAUGGCGGCCUAUUGUUCAGUGCCCGCCGUGCUGCUUGAAACCAGGCCCGGCGCUGGCAGCGUUGAAGCAUGAGGUCCCCUUGUGUGAGGGCUGCCGGAGAAGGUGGAGGAGGAGAGGGGACACUGCCACCAAGGACAGACAGCUCUCUGGAGGAUUGGGCUUUGCUGUGUGGCUACAGGCUGACCAUGGGAUCUGGGGGAGCCAUUGAACACCUUGUGUCGGAGAACAUGGCAGGAUCACUAGAGCAGUCUGGGGCCUGCAGCCUGGCUGGGCAAGGGCAGCAUCUUUCCCCUUGCUGGAUGGCUCAGGGAUACACUACCAGGGGCAGACACCUUUCUCACACUGACCCUGACAGCCUUCCUUAGAAAUGCCUCUGCUCCACCUUCCAGGGACCCCACUGUGUGCACCCAUAUUCGCAUCGGGUAUCCAUCUUUUUCCACAAAAGUAGCUUGUUCUGGGGAGCUUGUUUCGCCACCCACCCGCUGUAAGCACCUGUGAAUCAUGUGGCCUUUGUAAAACGACCUUGGCUAACCUGUACGAUCUCAGACUAAGCUUUCAGACCUUUCAAUGCUUUCACAGUUUCCGAGCUGGGCUGAGCGCCCUUCCAAAUUGUCAGCCUGACGCCACCCAUGCUGAUUUAUGUUCCCUGAGAAAUGCAAUUGUAACUAUUUCCAUUAAGAGAGCCCUCAAAACCGUAAAUGGCUCCAAAGUUGUGAAGAAUGCAUGCCCCCGGCUCCCUACAAAUUGCCCCUUAUAUUUCCCUGAAUCUAGCUGUAUCCGGUGCUUCAGCUAAAGCAGCGUUUUUAUUUACAGCACGUGCACGUGUGCAAGGCACACUACC